rnacentral:lncRNA from 1 species
GAUUUCCUUCUGCCACAUUGUUAGUGCUUAUUGUCAUAAAUAAUAAACAAACGACUGACAUCAGUACGAAGCCCUUCAUUUUGUGUUGUUGUUGUUUGGUAUAUAGACUAUGUAAAAAAGCUAUGUAUUUAUACUGUAUCCUAUGGUGACUGUCCUAAAUUAAAUGUGCAUCAUCUACUUUGGUCUUAAAAUACACAUGUCCGUGUCACCCUACACGUAGUUCCAUCAACCAAGAUUUAUUAUUUUUGUGUUUUAUGUGGUGUUGUUUAACAGGGAAG